AACUUUCUGAAUCCGUGUAUAGAUUUUGUCAGACACCAACCCAUUCGGGCUGAUGAGACUUCCAAGAUAAGUGAAGUU
rnacentral:pre_miRNA from 1 species